GCUUUGCUGUCCUUAACCAAUGUAGGGUUAGAGGGAUAUUCAAAGGCUCAAGGCAUUUCUACCAUUCACAAACCACAGCCCGGCUGCCGGGGAGAAGGAGGGCUAGCCAACUGAAAACGCUGUCAUGUGGCUCUGCUGUUGAGUGCUGGGAUGUGAAGGACAGAGCAGUGGCUGGGCUGCGAAUGGGUUUCACCAGGCUGGAUCAGGUGGCCGCUUUCCUGGAAACUGGCCUUCUCGUUGCUAGGCUGAUAAGGCAGGGACAUUGCUACCCUUGGCGCACAUGGGAAACCUUGUUGACACUGAAGAAGAGCUGGGAUCUGUUAACUGUUGAGACAAAGCAGAGGGCCCCUGAAGUUACUCCAUAUCCCAGAAUAACUCAGAUCACCGAGGCAGGUGUGCGUUGAGAAAGCCAAUGAAUCCAACCUUCAGUAAGUGUUCCAGAGACAGAGAGAAAGAUGGCAACAGGAUGCAACUUUGGGGCAUCCUAUCUUCCCCAUGUCCCCCCAGAUUUUAGCUUCCACCCUGAAUAACUGUGGACUCCUGUAACACACAUGUGCUAACCGCUCCUGACGCUAGACCCCCAAAGCAGCUGCUGGGCAGUACAAGGUACAGGAAGCUGCCUCCUGGGGACACAGAUCUGUAUACUAGCAGGUGUGGCUGGGAAGGCCCUGGCCCUGGAGCCUCGCUGUUUAUAACUGUGAUGGGGGGCGGGGCAUUCGGACUUCAAAGGGUUUAGAGGUCAGGAAAUGAAGCCUUUUGGCAGAACUCCAGGGACAAGUAGCUUACACUGAUUUCUGCCUCCACCACCAUGGUGUAACAAGGCCCCUUUAUGUUGUAACUCACAGCACUUGCACCUUGCCUGCAAAGUACCCUCUCCUGGACUGUUCAAACACCCCCCUCACUCACACACACACACACACACACACACACACACACACACACACAGAGUCUUUCGUCCAUCAGGUAGUCACCAGCCCUUGCAUAACCUGUCACUUGAAUUUUUCCCAACAUUCCCUGCAAGUAGCCGUCAGCCCUCGGGGAGAGGUGAAUGAAGAAUUGCAAUGAGAAGUCCCUAAGUCCCCCUAAAAUGAGCCCUGCCUCAUAGCUGUUGGGGUGUGUUCGCGUGCAGGGGUGGGGUCAGGAUGCAGGUGUGGCUGGCUUUACCCACUUGGAGCAUCCUAUUUCUGUCCCCAAAGUGAAGGACAAGGCACUGGGUUCCAAACUCUGCUUCCCACAGAUCCUUCAUGGAGAACAGAUUGGAUUCCAGAAGGCAAAGGGAAUAAUGAAGAGAGAAGAGGAAAAGAGAAAGGCCACUGAGACAUUAAUACAGAAGUAGAGAUGAAGCCCACAAAUGAGGUCCUCCACUAUUGCCUUACAGAUGAUCCUGCUAGGCUCUGCCCAACAGCUGCCUAGCAACAGCUUGCCUAGGUGCUGGGCUACCCCAAAGCUAUCUAUCUAAGUAGCUAUUUAUCUAUGUAUCUAUCUACUUAUGUAUCUAUAUAUCUUUGUAUCUAUCUAUCUAUCUAUCUAUUUAUCUAUCUAUCUAUCUAUCUAUCUAUCUAUCUAUCUACCUACCUACCUACCUACCUACCUACCUACCUUUCUAUGCUCUCUCCCAUCAAAUUAAAAAACAAAAAACAAAAAACAAAAACCCACAACACUCACCAAGAGGGAUAAUAUGGAAAUGAGCACAAACUGCAUUGUGGGUAAUUCUGAAAUGUGGGUAAGUUUGCACUGUUGUGCAAUGUGAGUGAGUCUACCCUGGAAAAAGAGACAGAAAGGAAAGGCUGGGAAACCAAGAAAGGAAAAGCAAGCCAACCAGAGAUGGGUGUGGUGGCACACACUUGCAGUGGAUCACUGGGAAGGCUGAGGCAGGAGGAUUUCAAGUUCAAGUCCAGAUUGCAUUAUAUACCAAGAUCCUGUCUCAAGUACUACUACCACCACCACCGAUAAUAUAAUCAUAACAACAACAACGACACAGUAACAAAAACAGGAAAGAUAAAAAUAAUGCUAUACAUGAUGAUGAGUCUGAAAUGGGGGGAGGGGUUAGAAAGAGAAAAAAAUCAAAUGCAUAUUAAACAUACACUAUUAAACACACAUAUCUAAUAUAUAUACAUUGAGUUAUAGAAAUCCUAUUUAUGCCUGAAAGCUAGAAAAAAAAUAAAACAGCUGGAAAAUUUAAAGUAUUUUAAUGAAAGAAAAGUACCAUACAAACAUUGCAUUUAUAGUACUGAGUAGUGGACUCCAAACGUUUCAAGC
rnacentral:lncRNA from 1 species